GAUGAAGAACGCAGUGAAAUGCGAUACUUGGUGUGAAUUGCAGAAUCCCGUGAACCAUCGAGUCUUUGAACGCAAGUUGCGCCUCAAGCCAUUAGGUUGAGGGCACGUCUGCCUGGGCGUCACAUAUCGUUGCCUGAUGCCAGUUUCCUCGUGAUGGGUGACUGUGCAGGGCGAAUGAUGGCUUCCCGUGAGCAUUGUUGCCUCAUGGUUGGUUGAAAAUUGAGUCCUUGGUAGGGAGCGCCGUGAUAGAUGGUGGUUGAGUGACGAACGAGACCCAAUCAUGUGAGACCCCUACCGAAUUUGGCCUUCAUGACCCACAUGCGUCUUUGGAACGCUCAUGACGAGACCUCAGGUCAGGCGGGGCUACCCGCUGAGUUUAAGCAUAUCAAUAACGGAGGA
rnacentral:misc_RNA from 1 species